rnacentral:rRNA from 1 species
UACGUAGGGUGCAAGCGUUGUCCGGAAUUAUUGGGCGUAAAGGGCUCGUAGGCGGUCUGUCACGUCGGGAGUGAAAACUCAGGGCUUAACCCUGAGCCUGCUUCCGAUACGGGCAGACUAGAGGUAUGCAGGGGAGAACGGAAUUCCUGGUGUAGCGGUGAAAUGCGUAGAUAUCAGGAAGAACAUCGGUGGCGAAGGCGCUCUGCUGGACCAUAACUGACACUCAGGGACGAAAGCUAGGGGGGCGAAUGGG